GUGCCAACAGAGGGCGUUUUUACUGACUGAAAGGUAAUCUGGUACGCAGUGAACGUGCGCAGGUCGGACAUUGAAGCACACAAGGUGAUCUGGCGCACGGAGACGCACAACAAAACAAAAAUGUCGGAUUCCGAGGCAACGGCCGCUGCUCCAACCGAUGCUCCCAUUCCCACACCGUGCCAAGUUAUCAAAGAGGAUCUGGAUAAAUGUGUGAAGGAGAAGGGAGAGGAAGGCUGUAAGGAGCUGAUGGAGGCUUUCCAGGCCUGUCUGAAGGCUGCGGCAGAUGCAUCAUGAACAGGGGAGCACAACACCAGAGAUGUCCACUACAGGGUCCUCCACUUUCCCAGCAUUCCCUUCUGCACAUUGCACUGGUCUAAAUCUUGAUGUGGGGGCAGUGGGAACUGCAAAAUGUCCCCUGUAAACCUCAAAAUGGUGUCUUCCAAUCCCUUACUGUGCUGGUGAACCCAUAGUUUUUUUUUUUAAAUGUG